rnacentral:tRNA from 1 species
ACCUGGCUGGCUCAGUAGAGCAUGUGACUCUUGAUCUCAGGGUUGUGAGUUGGAGCCCCAUGUUUGGUG